ensembl:lncRNA
CACAGCACUCACACACAGUCCCGGCUGCACCUCUGCCUGCUUCGGACCGGAGAUACCCAAAAAACCAGACCCAAACUCAUUUCUUCUUGGAGUGAUUAUCAGAAUGGAGUGAUAUAGUUGCAUUUCACGUUGUCCUGCGUAAUCCAAGAUGUUUCCACCGCGCCACCGCACAAACGCUAGCAGCUGGACCAGAGACCUAUUUCUGAGCUGAUGCGGAUUGGAGAGCCAGCCGAGGGAAACCAGGCGACCUCACUACAUUCCAAAAGGCCCGGCCGCGUCCAACUACACAACUGCAUAGUGUUCUAAGCAAUUUAUGCGCGUUUAAUUCGGCCAGCUAUGCAGAACGGCAAGCUACAAAGACCAGGGCAGAGCUUGGCUUGCACAUGAUAGACAUAGAUGUUAAAUUGUCAGGUAUUUGGGAGUGCUGGAGAAGUUACACGCUUUUUGGGAUGCUGGAAUAAGUCUUGACAGCAGAUUUUUGUCGACAUAAAAUAAGACCGCAAGACUAUUCAGAAUUGGAAUUUGAAUAGACGCCAUUAGCAAAUCGCAAAGUACCAUAAUUUCCUUCAUAA